AGCAGCCGCGGUAAUUCCAGCUCCAAUAGCGUAUAUUAAAGUUGUUGCAGUUAAAAAGCUCGUAGUUGAAUUUCGGGGUCAGUAGAUUGGUCGUGCCACUGGUACGUACUGGUCUACUGGCUCCUCCUUCCUGAUGAACCGUAAUGCCAUUAAUUUGGUGUUGCGGGGAAACUGGACUGUUACUUUGAAAAAUUAGAGUGUUUAAAGCAGGCUAACGCUUGAAUACAUUAGCAUGGAAUAAUGAAAUAGGACGUUCGAUCUUAUUUUGUUGGUUUCUAGGAUUGACGUAAUGAUUAAUAGGGAUAGUUGGGGGCAUUAGUAUUCAAUUGUCAGAGGUGAAAUUCUUGGAUUUAUUGAAGUACUAACUACUGCGAAAGCAUUUGCCAAGGAUGUUUUCAUUAAUCAAGAACGA
rnacentral:sRNA from 1 species